rnacentral:rRNA from 1 species
GACGAACGCUGGCGGCGUGCUUAACACAUGCAAGUCGAACGAAGAGCGAUGGAAGCUUGCUUCUAUCCGUCUUAGUGGCGAACGGGUGUGUAACGCGUAAUCAACCUGCCCUUGAGUGGGGGACACCAGUUGGACACGAGUGCUAAUACCGCAUACGAUCUAAUCUCGGCAUCGAGGAUAGAUGCACGGUGGCCUCUACAUGUAUGCUAACACUGCAGGAGGGUAUUGCGGCUGAUUAGCUAGUGGGAUGGGUAACGGCCCACCAAGGCGAUGAGCAGUAGCCGGUCUGGGAGGAUGAACGGCCACAUUGGGACUUGGACACGGCUCAGACUCCUACGGGAGGCAGCAGUGGGGAAUCUUCCGCAAUGGACGGAAGUCUGACGGAGCAACGCCGCGUGAGUGAUGACGGCCUUCGGGUUGUAAAGCUCCGUUAAUCGGGACGAAAGGCCUGCUUGCGAAUAGGGAGAAGGAUUGACGGUACCGGAAUAGAAAGCCACGGCUAACUACGUG